rnacentral:misc_RNA from 1 species
ACGCGGCAAAAUAAUCUCACGCAACUCAAGGGUAGCAUGGUAACAAAAAAAAUUUAGUUGUUUAUUUGUUGUGCGCGCUUGGCGACGUUCUAGCUGGGUACAGGGGGAAAGAAAAUAAAGAGCAACACAGCACGCAGGACGUGCCAACAUGUUGGGCAAAGACUCUAUUGCGACGCUUUGCCAACAGUCUCUGGCACAGGCACUGGUGCUGGUGAUAUUCCUCUCAGCUCCUGGCCUAUGCUACAAAAACGUGCGCCUCCAGGACAACCUGUGCUCGGACAAAUUGAUUUACACACUCGCCAAACCCUUUCGCGGCGACCCCACGGUGAGGCUUGAUUUCGAGGACGAUUCGGCAGCCAUUGUUGCACAGACUUGGAAUCUCACACUGCCCCAUGGCCACUCAGCUAACAAGAUCAAAUACGAUUGCCAGUUCCGCGUGGUGACCAGCGACCGUCCGCCGCGCGGCAUCUACACAAUCAUCACCAGGCUCAAAUUCCGGCGGGAUCCAGUCUCAAAAGAGUGCAUCGACUACAUACAGUUUACUAGUGGCAAUCGCUCUCCCAGCGAGCGUAUAUGCCAUGAUAUCUCCAUCAACGGGCCGGCCGGGCGUCUAAUCUUCGAUCAGCGUGAUCGUGAAGUGAACGUGCACAUCUUCAUCGACAGAUCGCGGCACAUUCUAGGCGAUCAGUUGGAGCUGAGCAUGGUGCUGACGGCCCACUCCGAGUGCCAGUUUAACGGCGACUUCCUGUGCAAUCCCAACGACCAGUACUCAUGCAUAUCUCGGCACUUUGUGCGUGACAACGUCACCAACUGCUUGUAUCCGUGCCGCGAUGAGGGUACGUGUUUCCACGACGCCAUCGUGCCGGAGGAGAUAGACACAGCUAAUGUGGCCAUCUCGGCCAUAACGUCGCUCAUUUUCACCAUGCUCGGCGUGGGCUUCUGCGUGUGGAUUUGCUGGAAGUACUGGAACUGCAUCACGGUGCAGCAACGGGCACACGAGGCCUCAGCCGCUCGCUUCAACCAGCGACGCGUCCGGUCUGAUGUGCCCACCAUUGAGCUACCAACGGCUCCGGAAUACGAUGAUGUUGGACCACGUGAGCUGGAUCCCCAGCAGCAACCACCGCCAAUGACGCCCAAGGAUAUGCCACCCAGCUAUGAGUCGUUGUUCCCCGACAGAUAAAGCACCGUGGCACGUUGUUCCGAUUGCUCCGUUUUGUGCCAGAUCAGCAGCAACUUUGGAAUCACGCACUUGUUGUACUCGUAAUAGUCCAAUUAGCGUUAGCGUUUGCGCCCAGCAGUUUAGCGGUAAUGAAUAUCAAUCGACAUAACUCCCCCGAGAAUACUUCAUUGAGAAUACUUACUAUUGUACAUAUUUAAGUUUUAUGUUUUUUGUUCUAUUGUGAAACCGUUAAAGCUGCCUUUUAGUGAAGCCAAUCGAUCAAUGUCUCAAUGUAUUAGCCUGCACGUUGAGAACCCCAAACUCACUGAUGAAAUCUCACAGAAAUUACGAUGUUAAACGAAAUUAUAUCAAUUAUUUACCUAAGAAACCAAUAUUAUUAAGCAAAACCAACAUGUACUCGUCUCUGCAUUAGUUGGUGUAAAUCUAUUAAACGCCAGCCAUCAGCAGCACGCAUGCUGUCUGCGGGAUGGGCUCUGCGAGAAGAUGGUGGCGUCGGCAUUGCAUUCCAAAUAGUUGUACCUGUUUCUGUAUUGCAUAGAUGAUAUAUAUAUGUAUGAAUGCUACGCGCUUUUGUAGAGGUCUUUGUUAUGUGUCUGUGUACUGUGCCGGCGACACAAUUGUCAAUUGUUAAUCAGAGUAUCCCCUAUAAGUGCCGCGCCCAGCACACACCGACUCACAGAAGUAUAUGUACGUGUACUCAAAAUAUGCAUCAGAAGAGAGUUCGUGGUCAGUAGCUCCUAAGCCAAUACUCAUAUGUGUACACAAGAGAAUCGAGCACAGAAACUCACUCGAAUCCGUAUUACCGAUAAAUAAACCAACUAAAUCUCAA